rnacentral:pre_miRNA from 1 species
UGGUCCCAUCUGUCUGCCUCUCUCUCGUUCAGUUUCCAUGGAGAGGCUGGCACUGGGACACAU